rnacentral:lncRNA from 1 species
CCGGCAUCGCCGAGUACGACUUCGCCUCGCCUUCAAUCCGCUGUCGUCGGUCUGCGCCGAUCUUCUCUGGUUAUUCACCAAAAGCUCUGUCUCGCAUUCUUGAUCGAUUUACUCCGAUCAUUGAAUCGGAGACCCAUUCCCAACAUCAGGUUAAUUCAGAUCCGUACUAUUCAAUUCUUUUGUUUUCAUUUGGAAUUCCCUUGG